CUGUCCACCAAGUAGGAAAGACAACUGAAAUUCUACUGGGUUAGGAUGGAUAGCCUCCAUUGUGUUACUCUGGACAUGCCCACACUGCUGACCAGGAAGAAGUCUGCUUGCCUGUCAGAAAGAUGUGGAAAUGUGCUGGCAUUCCAGCUGAAGACAUCAUUAUGAGUGAGAAAAUGCUCAAGGCUUUUUCAAAGUGGGUGCUGAAACAUACGUUUCUCUUCUUUGACUCCAGGGGAUGCUAACAGCUGCCCCAGCAGACAGGUACCGCAAGGUCAAAGGCUAGCAGAGCUGUGCACCUCCAGAAUUUGACUGCCAGCAAAGUAGACGGGUAGUUUCUCAAAACUAAUAAUAAAAAUAGCAACAGUGAUGAGAAAAAGAAGGAACUGACAACAAAAAUGAAAAUAAACCUGCAGGAAGUGAAUUCUGGGAAGCAUAACACUUGGCAGAGCUGAUUUUAAUAUCUGACAGGUUGAGUUCACUAAUCUUUGCUAUUCAUAUUGACGUGAAACUUCAUACAGUUUUAGAGAUUUGUAUCUAUUAAGACAUGCAGCAGUGUUCCUACAACAUGGGAACAAGUUUGCUAGCACCUACUGUUCUUCUUCCCUGAUAAAAAUUUGUAUGAGCUGUUUUAAAUGCCUAACAGAUAAUUACUCUGAACAAUCAAUAAAGAAAGCUGCAUCUUUAGGGCCUCCUUUAUCUUUAAAAAAUAAUAAAAAAACCCACCAAGCCUCAGACCCACCAACAAGACAAAACAACAUUCUUCCCUCCAUCUUCCCCCCUCUCUUUUGUUUCUUUGAUUACUUGGAGCCUUGUAAUCAAACUAAGCUUCGUUUCAGGACCCUUGGGGCAGUAUCUUUUAGUUCCCUGUCAGACUGCGUUGCAAAACAAUCAAUCUUGCUCUUGCACUCACUUGGCGGAAGUGCUGCGACACGAAGAGUGCCGUGCUUUGCUCUUGCUGUGAAGCUUCGAUGACAAAAGUUUUUAUCAGAAGCUGACUGUAUUUAGGGUUAUGAAUAUGCAAUGACUCUCAUUAGUAUUGAAGCGCAGGAGCACAGGCUGACAUCCCCCGCCACUUUUAGCUGCUGCAGAAUCGUCUAAUGAAUUGUCUUGCUCUUUCACUUGCACAGGCGCUGCUGUUAUGGCUCCCUGUUCCAAGGGGAGUUGCCCAGUUUGAGAAUACUGUUGACUGCAGAAAUUAAUUGCCAGGAACUGCUCUUGAUUUUGUUAAACAAUGUUGAGACAGUGUUUAAAUUGCCAAAACAGAAAACCAUUAAGCUCUGCACAAGACAGAGCCAUCAUGAAUGAAGGAACAUGUGUGUCAGCGUGCCAGGCUUUGCGUGCAGUCUUGUGGUCACACCUGCACAAUUGAAGAUGUCUGUAUGCCAGUGGAGGGUCUCAGAGACCUGUCUUCACAUUGAUUUAUUUACUGUCCUUCCAGCUAGAACAAUUAAGAUAAGGCGGGGGAUAAGGCAGAGUUCUUCAAAUGAGCAGGAUUCCAAUACACUGCUGUUUGAUCAACCUGUUAAUGCUCUCUUCUUUUCCUCUGGGACACUGUCAAACAUUUUUCAGUUCACACAUCUGCAAUCUUUUUAUGAAUAAAGCACUGAUAAGAAUGUUGCCAACAAAUGAUUAAGAUAUCUGGCUUGAUUUGUAGUAUUGGAGGAGAUGUGAAAGCUUUCAGAAAAAAGUGGAAAUGCCCCUUUUUCCCAAUUGGUUAAAUUAAGUUUUUUUUUUUCCUAUUCAUCUGAAAUUUCUCCUGACAUAAAAGGAUCUUUUGUGGCUCUCCGCAGAUUGUGAAGGAUGGAGUGAAUUGAAAUAGAUAAUGUAUUCCAAGAAGCGUAAGUAGCAUUCUGAAAGAUGUGUGCAUACUGCAAGUAAUGAAGGAUAUGAGGUUCUCCCAAGAAGAUGUCAGCCCUGUGCAGCUCUUUAUCCAUUCAAUCAGUAAUGGAAAUGGUCCCAGUGCAAGCAGGAGGAUCUGUUUAAUUUUUACUGCGAUUUUUGGCACUGCUGCUCUAAAGUGAGCUUAGGUUACCUCUUGACCCAACCCCAGGAGUGCCUGUUCUCGUCAGCUGGAGAAAAAAUAAACAUAAAAAACAUCUACAUGUUGGGAGUAUCAAAUACAAAAGCAGUUUAAAAUAAAUGCAGUUCUGACAAAAGUGGCUCAAGUGUCAUACAUCAAACACUUGUUACCUCUCUUGGCCUUAGUGAUUGCACGUGACUAAGAAAGAGUGAGUGAUAAAAUCCGAAGAAAGAUGAAACCAAUCUGGGCCUUUUUAAAGAUCAUCAAUCAUUCUGCGCAGCCAUGAUAUUAUUAGUUCCAGUAAGCCUUGUUCUCCCAUUUUAUGGACAUCAUAAACCCCCACCCUUCUACCAAUGCUACCAUGGGAAAUCACUUUUAUGGGCAGCAUCUUAGCAUGGGCCAAUCAGAUCUAAUCACAUAACAAGCUACUGAAUUAUUCAACGUCCUCCCUAAUUCUGCAUUCUUCCUGCACUUUGCUGUCACUGCAGGGUUUUAAAAGUAUGUGAUUUUACAAUAUUUAUUAAGAAGAUAACUGUACACAGGAAUUUUGCUUUCUCGAUGUCUUUCAAUAAUUGUUUGUUCCCUUAGAUGGUUGUACUAUAUACACUUCUGUAUAGAGAAUAUUUUCUCAGAAAAGAACAGCUAUUCAUAAUGUGGCAUUCAGCUCUAAACUCUUUCGGCUUUUAAAAUACUGAGCGUAAGGACAAUAGUGAAACAAUUGUGUUCAAACAUAAAAUAUUCAGAUUUACAGAGCAAACUGUAACCAGCAUGUCUCUUAGCUGUUGCUAUGAAUACAGGGCUCACAUUGUAUAUGAAAAUAUUUCAGUUUUAAUUGCAAAUCUGUGCAGAGAUGAUUUGGGGUCUGUAAUUAGCACAUAAAUUCCAGACUUUGUGACUGCUGUGAAAACACACAUUAUUUAUGGAACGAUUAUCUAAACAUAAUUCAGUGUUUUUUUGCUUUCAACAGCUACUGUAAAAGUCUGAUUUAAUAAAAUGUGAAAAAUUU